UCAGCCCCUGUCCUCACCCAUGUAACUCUCUAAGUAGAGUUAUACGGCCGUGUCCCAGCCCAUGUCCUCACCCGUGUAACUCUUUGAGUAGGGUUAUAGGCCAUGUCACACACCCGAAACCACUAUUUUCAACCACUAAAAACGGGUUGUUACAAGCCAUCCCUUUCAUUUUCAUCUCCUUAACUAGGACAUACACUUUUAAAGUACCUUACUAAAUUUAACUCUUAUUUUCUUUUUUUUUCAUUUACCUUAUUU
rnacentral:lncRNA from 1 species